CCUACGGGAGGCAGCAGUGGGGAAUCUUGCGCAAUGGGCGAAGGCCUGACGCAGCCAUGCCGCGUGGAUGAUGAAGGUCUUAGGAUUGUAAAAUCCUUUCACCGGUGAAGAUAAUGACUGUAGCCGGAGAAGAAGCCCCGGCUAACUUCGUGCCAGCAGCCGCGGUAAUACGAAGGGGGCUAGCGUUGCUCGGAAUUACUGGGCGUAAAGGGAGCGUAGGCGGACAUUUAAGUCAGAGGUGAAAUCCCGGAGCUUAACUUCGGAACUGCCUUUGAUACUGGGUGUCUUGAGUGUGAGAGAGGUAUGUGGAACUCCGAGUGUAGAGGUGAAAUUCGUAGAUAUUCGGAAGAACACCAGUGGCGAAGGCGACAUACUGGCUCAUUACUGACGCUGAGGCUCGAAAGCGUGGGGAGCAAACAGGAUUAGAUACCCUGGUAGUCCACGCCGUAAACGAUGAUUGCUAGUUGUCGGGAAGCUUGCUUCUCGGUGACGCAGCUAACGCAUUAAGCAAUCCGCCUGGGGAGUACGGUCGCAAGNUUAAAACUCAAAGGAAUUGACGG
rnacentral:rRNA from 1 species